rnacentral:rRNA from 2 species
UGGAGAACUGAGGGGGGCUGCUCCUAGUACGAGAGGACCGGAGUGGACGCAUCACUGGUGUUCGGGUUGUCAUGCCAAUGGCACUGCCCGGUAGCUAAAUGCGGAAGAGAUAAGUGCUGAAAGCAUCUAAGCACGAAACUUGCCCCGAGAUGAGUUCUCCCUGACUCCUUGAGAGUCCUGAAGGAACGUUGAAGACGACGACGUUGAUAGGCCGGAUGUGUAAGCGCAGCGAUGCGUUGAGCUAACCGGUACUAAUGAACCGUGAGGCUUAACCUUACAACGCCGAAGGUGUUU